AUGAACGCUGGCGGUAUGCUUAACACAUGCAAGUCGAACGAAAGCUUUAUGCUUUAGUGGCGAACGGGUGCGUAAUACGUGAGAAUCUGCCCUUAGGAGGAGAAUAACUUCUGGAAACGGUUGCUAAGUCUCCAUAUGCCGAGAGGUAAAAUAGUUUACACUGCCUAGGGAUGAGCUCACGCCUGAUUAGCUUGUUGGUAAGGUAAUGGCUUACCAAGGCCACGAUCAGUAACUGGUCUGAGAGGACGAUCGGCCACACUGGAACUGAGACACGGUCCAGACACCUACGGGUGGCAGCAGUCGAGAAUCUUUCACAAUGGGGGAAACCCUGAUGGAGCGACGCCGCGUGGGGGAUGAAUGGCUUCGGUCCGUAAACCCCUGUCAUUUGUUAACAAACCUCUUAAAUUAAUAGCUUAAGAGCUGAUAGUAGCGAAAGAGGAAGGGACGGCUAACUCCGUGCCAGCAGCCGCGGUAAUACGGAGGUCCCAAGCGUUGUUCGGAUUCACUGGGCGUAAAGGGUGCGUAGGCGGUUAGGUAAGUUCGAUGUGAAAGCUCCGGGCUCAACCCGGAAAUGGCAUUGAAAACUACCUAACUUGAGGGUCGGAAGGGAGACUGGAAUUCCCGGUGUAGCAGUGAAAUGCGUAGAUAUCGGGAGGAACACCAGUGGCGAAGGCGAGUCUCUGGACGACACCUGACGCUGAGGCACGAAAGCUAGGGGAGCAAACAGGAUUAGAUACCCUGGUAGUCCUAGCCGUAAACGGUGUGCACUUGCUGUGGGCGGAUUCGACCCCGUCCGUGGCGUAGCUAACGCGAUAAGUGCACCGCCUGGGGAGUACGGUCGCAAGAUUAAAACUCAAAGAAAUUGACGGGGGCCCGCACAAGCGGUGGAGUAUGUGGUUUAAUUCGAUUCAACGCGCAGAACCUUACCUGGCCCUGACAUGCUUGUGGUAAAACCCUGAAAGGGGAAUGACCUCGCAAGAGGAGCUUGCACAGGUGCUGCAUGGCUGUCGUCAGCUCGUGUCGUGAGAUGUUGGGUUAAGUCCCGCAACGAGCGCAACCCUUGUGUCCUGUUGCCACCCGAGCUUCGGCUCGGAGCACUCUGGACAGACUGCCUCGCUUAAACGAGGAGGAAGGUGGGGAUGACGUCAAGUCAGUAUGGCCCUUACGGCCAGGGCUGCACACGUACUACAAUGCCUAAUACAAUGGGAAGCAAUACCGUGAGGUGGAGCAAAUCCUUAAAAUUGGGCCCAGUUCGGAUUGUAGUCUGCAACUCGACUACAUGAAGCCGGAAUCGCUAGUAAUGGGGCAUCAGCUACGGCCCCGUGAAUACGUUCCCAGGCCUUGUACACACCGC
rnacentral:rRNA from 1 species